rnacentral:lncRNA from 1 species
GGGAGUUGGAAAAAGCACACUUUUUUCCUCCACAUUUAAAAAUGACUAGAAGGUGAGAGAGAAAGAGAGAAAGCUCACCUGCAGCCCGUGAAGUCACGCUUUUGCAUUCCGUUUGUAGGACAAGUUGUCAGUGUGCGAUGAUUUCCAUAGGCUUUGAAAUGGGGUAGCAGUUUAAACAUAUCAAAUGCUUAAUGAAGUGAGGCCCCAUCUCAUCGGUAUUCAGUGUGGCACUAACAUUACAUACGCUAAUCCUGAAACAAUAAGCUAUAAGGAGAGCCUCGCUUUCUGGGUUUGAAAUGAAUGGAGCAGUCUGAAUUCUUCCAGUUUUAUCUCCUGCUUUAACCUGGAAUGAUGCCAGCAUGUUGGGUUUUACCCUGGAGAAUUCAUAUCAUGUGAAAAACUUAAAUCAGGUCUGUCUGCUGGUACACGCAGUCCUAAUCCGUUAAAUAUUUCUAGCUAACAAUGCACGUGGGGCUCUUCAGCUCUGCAUACAGUCAUGUUCUGCUAAGUCCAUGCAAAUAUAACCACUUCUGCCUGCUUUUUUGAGGGAGGGAUCAGUAAUGCCUACAUGGUUUUACCCAAAUCCCUCAUGCGACAUACAAGGCUCUUGGCAUAUCUUAACCCUGGUGGUAGCUCCCUAUCCAUUCUCUAGGACCUGGCUCUCUUACUGUGAGCUUGGGAAGGUUUCAAAUGAGAGAUUGCUUCACUUUCAUUGGUCAUUUAAAAGGAACCACAACUCUUGACUUUAUCAAGUUAUAGAAACUUGAGCCCAGAGUCCCGGCUGUAGAAUGUCUAAAGAGAAUGCCACUGAACCCCAUCAUUCCCUACGCCCUUCUGCAUUCAGAAAAAUUAAAAACAUUAGGACUUGUGUGAACCAUGUAUGGGGCAUUUUUCUUCAGAGUCAAGCACUGCUGUCUGAAAAAGAACACUUCUUUCCAGAAAACUCUGUUUUUUCAGAACGACCUCUUUCAUUCUGCUGCCUCAUUCCCAGAGGAGUGAUUUUGUAUUUCCCCUCAUCCAAACACGGAGAUGACUUUUUCAGGAUUGUAAAAAGGAAUGUGUGAUCAAUCUUUUAUUUAAUACAUAUUUAUGAGGUGCCUCUGUGUGUGAAGUUAAGUGCUGGGUAAAAGGGCAGUGUAGCAUCACAGUCGCAAGCAUGGAUUCGAGAGUCCAACUGCCCGGGUUGAUAACUGUGUGAGGUUGUGCUGGGUACACAGUCUUUCUGUGCUGUGGUUUCCCCUUCAGGAAAAUGGGGCUGUUGACCAUACUGACCUCAUAACGAAGUCCUUGGGGUCUGACACCUAGCAGGUACUAAGCAAGUGUUAGCUGCCACUGCUGCCAUUUCUGCUCCUGCUGCUCUGCUGUUGAUCUCAUUACUGUUACCUUCAUCUUUACUAUUAUUAGGUGCUGGGAACAAAGUUGUCCACCAAAACAAAGCGAAACUAUACCCACCAUGGUUCCUGUCCUUAUGGAGCACCAAGUUUCCUGAGGGAGGCAUACACUGAAUAAAAGACUAUAGACCAGGUAUAGUGGCUCAUGCUUGUAAUCCCAACGCUUUUGGAAGCUAAGCAGGAGGAUGGCUUGAGGCCAGCUGUUCAAGACCAGCCUGGGCAACAGAGCAAGUCCCCAUGUCUUAAAAAAAAAAAAAAAGAAA